GCUGGGGGUAGUGGUGCACACCUGUGAUCCCAGUGACUUGGGGGCUUGAGGCAGGAGGAUUGCAAGUUUGAGAGCAGCCUCAGCAACUUAGCAAAGCCCUAAGCAACUUAGCAAGACCCUGUCUCAA
rnacentral:sRNA from 1 species